UACGUAGGGGGCAAGCGUUGUCCGGAAUCAUUGGGCGUAAAGAGCGUGUAGGCGGUUCGGUAAGUCGGCUGUGAAAGUCCAGGGCUCAACCCUGGGAUGCCGGUCGAUACUGCCGGGCUAGAGUCCGGAAGGGGCGAGUGGAAUUCCUGGUGUAGCGGUGGAAUGCGCAGAUAUCAGGAGGAACACCAAUAGCGAAGGCAGCUCGCUGGGACGGUACUGACGCUAAGGCGCGAAAGCGUGGGGAGCAAACAGG
rnacentral:rRNA from 1 species